rnacentral:rRNA from 1 species
UACGAAGGGGGCUAGCGUUGCUCGGAAUUACUGGGCGUAAAGCGCACGUAGGCGGCUUUCUAAGUCGGGGGUGAAAUCCUGGAGCUCAACUCCAGAACUGCCUUUGAUACUGAAGAUCUUGAGUCCGGGAGAGGUGAGUGGAACUGCGAGUGUAGAGGUGAAAUUCGUAGAUAUUCGCAAGAACACCAGUGGCGAAGGCGGCUCACUGGCCCGGUACUGACGCUGAGGCACGAAAGCGUGGGGAGCAAACAGG